rnacentral:rRNA from 1 species
GUUAGGAAUAUUCGUCAAUGGGGGAAACCCUGAACGAGCAAUGCCGCGUGAAGGAUGACGGUCCUAUGGAUUGUAAACUUCUGUUGUUAGGGAAGAACGACCUGUAUAGGAAAUGAUGCAGGAGUGACGGUACCUUUCAAGAAAGCUCCGGCUAACUACGUGCCAGCAGCCGCGGUAAUACGUAGGGAGCGAGCGUUAUCCGGAUUUAUUGGGUGUAAAGGGUGCGUAGGCGGCUUUACAGGUCUGUGGUUUAAGUCCGAAGCUUAACUUCGGUUCGCCACAGAAACCGUAUCGCUUGAGUAUGGUAGAGGCAAGUGGAAUUUCUAGUGUAGCGGUUAAAUGCGUAGAUAUUAGAAGGAACACCAGUGGCGAAGGCGACUUGCUGGGCCAUCACUGACGCUGAGGCACGAAAGCGUGGGGAGCAAAUAGG